CCUUUUCCCUUUUUCCCUGUGUGUGUUGUCUGUGUCUGUCUCCUCCUGCUGUGCAGCCCAGUCAGAGGAUCUAGGUCAGGGGGCGUGGCCAUUACCUCCAGCUGCAGCUCAUUGUCACCAAUCAACCAGCAGUUAUCUACCCGGGCUGGCCACCUCUCCAGCGCCAGUUCGUUCCUACACCACCUGUGAUCCCGUCUGUUCCUGCUGCCUGCCUGCCUGCCACUUCCACGCCGCAACCUGCUCAUCUGUUGUCUGAUAUCCUCGUCAUCCAGCUCUCAGUGCUACUGGCUCUCCACCCCACUCAGCUCCUAUCCCGGUCUGAAGCUGCUCCACCCUGAACUGUUUUCUCUCUGCCAAAACACGCAGAAUAAACAACAUCUUUAAUCA